GGUGAACGCUGGCGGCGUGCCUAAUACAUGCAAGUCGAGCGAACAGACGAGGAGCUUGCUCCUCUGACGUUAGCGGCGGACGGGUGAGUAACACGUGGAUAACCUACCUAUAAGACUGGGAUAACUUCGGGAAACCGGAGCUAAUACCGGAUAAUAUAUUGAACCGCAUGGUUCAAUAGUGAAAGACGGUUUUGCUGUCACUUAUAGAUGGAUCCGCGCCGCAUUAGCUAGUUGGUAAGGUAACGGCUUACCAAGGCAACGAUGCGUAGCCGACCUGAGAGGGUGAUCGGCCACACUGGAACUGAGACACGGUCCAGACUCCUACGGGAGGCAGCAGUAGGGAAUCUUCCGCAAUGGGCGAAAGCCUGACGGAGCAACGCCGCGUGAGUGAUGAAGGUCUUCGGAGCGUAAAACUCUGUUAUGAGGGAAGAACAAAUGUGGAAGUAACUAUGCACGUCUUGACGGUACCUAAUCAGAAAGCCACGGCUAACUACGUG
rnacentral:rRNA from 1 species